AUUAUUACAAUCUGUACUCUAGAACUACAUGCCCUUUGGAUCCUCACAACAACUCCAUGAAAAAAUCGCAGCUGUCACUCUUCUCUGGUUCUCUUUUGGAGUUUAUGGUGCCUGUGCACUUCUGCUAUAUCACAUGAAAACUGUGGAUAUGACUCCAAAUAGUUCUCCAGGGAGUAAACAAAGUGGUUUGGGGCAUCAUCUUUUGAAACUUCUAAGGAUACAGUGCCUGGGAAAUACAGAAUUAGAAGGUGUUUAGUAGAAGGGGGAUUAAAAUAGAUGGGAAGAGCCACCUUCUCUAGUUUCAUGUUAAUUGGUAAUGGCCGGUGGUACUGGAGGCCAUCAGCUUCCUCAAGCCACAACAUGGAGUAGGACUUGGCUGCAUUCACUCUCUGAUAUGGAGUAGCCCAGGAGAGGAAAAAGGUUAUAGUAUAAGGGGAACAUUUUUCAUUUGAAAGUACAGAAGACAAAAACGAACACCUUUCCUAUUAUUUUGCUCACAUAACCUCAUUGUCACCUGCCUGUAUAUGCUUUCAAAAGCUGCCUGUACAUGUUUUCACCUGCCUGUACAUGCUUUCAAUCAUGGAAUAUUUGAACUUGGAUCACUAUGUUAGGUGAUUGCAUCCAUAAAAAAGCCUUCAUAUUCCAUCAUUUUUUUCCAUUGCCUUUAUCUCUCAACCUUCACCCACAGUCAUGGUGUCAGAAACUGCAAAACAAAUGAGGAGAGCCCCAAAUUUUAGACCUACUUUCCGUCUCUACAGAAAAUAGAAAAUUACCUGGGCAUGGUGGCACAUGUCUGUAGUCUCACCUACUCAGGAAGCUGAAGUGAGAGGAUCGUUUGAGCCCUGGAGUUGGAGGCUGCAGUGAGUCAAGAUGACACCACUGCACUCCAGCCUGGGUGACAGAGUAAGACCCUGUCUCAAAAAACAAAAAGCAAACAAACAAAAAAAGACCUACUCAAGCCCAAUCCUAUCUCCAAAACAAUCCUGCACCCCAGUUCUCCACUUGCCAGUCUUACUCAGCUUCCUUCCUCCUUCCUUAUCACCUUAAUCUUAACCAUGGUUAAUCUUUAACAGCUGCUCCCUCCUUUUUCCAACUGGUAAACUUCACCAUAUUCUUAGAAUCAUAAACGAAGAUAUUCCAAGAGUUUUCCCUGCAUUCUCUUUCCUAGAAGGGUCCAUGCUUCUCUGGCCCUGCUGUCUGGACUCUUAACUGUGUCAGUUAGAUCCUAUGCAAAGAUAGUUCCAAACCCAAGCCUUUAGAGCUAAUCUGGAACUAAGCCUUCCCCACCCUGGCCUGCCCUCCAUGAGAUCAACCUAGUGGCCACACUUCCAGCCCCAUCCUUAACCUCCUUUCUUUCUCUCCCAGCUCCUGCUUAUGUGUCAGUCUGUCUCCUCCUCUUGUGUCCAAGGGAAGUCAUCGCUCCCGCUGGCUCAGAACCAUGGCUGUGCCAGCCGGCACCCAGGUGUGGAGACAAGAUCUACAACCCCUUGGAGCAGUGCUGUUACGAUGAUGCCAUCGUGUCCCUGAGCGAGACCCGCCAAUGUGGUCCCCACUGCACCUUCUGGCCCUGCUUUGAGCUCUGCUGUCCUGAGUCCUUUGGCCUCACAAACGAUUUUGUUGUGAAGCUGAAGGUUCAGGGUGUGAAUUCCCAGUGCCACUCAUCUCCCAUCUCCAGUAAAUGUGAAAGCAGAAGACGUUUUCCCUGAGAAGACAUAGAAAGAAAAUCAACUUUCAGUGAGGCAUCUCGGAAACACAGGCUAGGGUAAUAUGUGUAACAGUAAAGAAGCCUGAGGAAUUUACAAAAUGGUGCAGCUCCAAGCCAUUGUAUGGCCCAUGUGGGAGACUGAUGGGACAUGGAGAAUGACAGUAGUUUAUCAGGAAAUAAAGUGGGUUUUCCAAUGUACACACCUGU
rnacentral:sRNA from 1 species